GACGAACGCUGGCGGCGUGCUUAACACAUGCAAGUCGAACGGAAAGGCCCUGCUUUUGUGGGGUGCUCGAGUGGCGAACGGGUGAGGAACACGUGAGUAACCGGCCCUUGACUUUGGGAUAACUUCAGGAAACUGGGGCUAAUACCGGAUAGGAGCUCCUGCUCCAUGGUGGGCGUGGGAACUUUUCGGCCGUUGUGGAUGGAUGCGCGGCUUAUCAGCUUGUUGGUGGGGUAGGGGAUUACCAAGCCUUUGACGGGUAGCCGGCAUGAGAGGGGGACCGGGCACAAUGGGACUGAGAGACGGACCAGACUCCAACGGGAGGCAGCAGUGGGGAGCAUUGCACAAUGGGAGGAAGCCUGAGGCAGCAGCGCCGCGGGCGGGAUGACGGCCUUUGGGUUAUGAACAGCUUCAGCCUGUGACGAAGCGGGAGUGACGGUAAUCAGUAAAGAAGCACCGGCUAACUACGUG
rnacentral:rRNA from 1 species